rnacentral:rRNA from 1 species
GUGCCAGCAGCCGCGGUAAUACGAAGGGGGCUAGCGUUGUUCGGAAUUACUGGGCGUAAAGCGCACGUAGGCGGAUAUUUAAGUCAGGGGUGAAAUCCCGCAGCUCAACUGCGGAACUGCCUUUGAUACUGGGUAUCUUGAGUAUGGAAGAGGUAAGUGGAAUUCCGAGUGUAGAGGUGAAAUUCGUNGAUAUUUCGGAGGAAACACCAGGUGGCGGAGGGCGGCUUACUUGGUCCAAUUACUGACGCUGAGGGUGCGAAAGGCGUGGGGAGCAAAACAGAAAUUAGAUACCCCUGGUAGUCC